rnacentral:rRNA from 1 species
AAGAUUUCUUCGGAAUGAAUUUGAUUUAGUUUAGUGGCGGACGGGUGAGUAACGCGUGAGUAACCUGCCUUCAAGAGGGGGAUAACAUUCUGAAAAGAAUGCUAAUACCGCAUGAUAUAUCGGAAUCACAUGAUUUUGAUAUCAAAGAUUUUAUCGCUUGAGGAUGGACUCGCGUCCGAUUAGUUAGUUGGUGAGGUAACGGCUCACCAAGACCGCGAUCGGUAGCCGGACUGAGAGGUUGAACGGCCACAUUGGGACUGAGACACGGCCCAGACUCCUACGGGAGGCAGCAGUGGGGGAUAUUGCGCAAUGGGGGCAACCCUGACGCAGCAACGCCGCGUGAAGGAUGAAGGUUUUCGGAUUGUAAACUUCUUUUAUUAAGGACGAAAAUUGACGGUACUUAAUGAAUAAGCUCCGGCUAACUACGUGCCAGCAGCCGCGGUAAUACGUAGGGAGCAAGCGUUGUCCGGAUUUACUGGGUGUAAAGGGUGCGUAGGCGGCUUUGCAAGUCAGAUGUGAAAUCUAUGGGCUCAACCCAUAAACUGCAUUUGAAACUGUAGAGCUUGAGUGAAGUA